AAAUACAACACACACGAUAAGUCUGAUACAGUGCCAUAGUUCGGUCAUUCCCACAAAAGCAAAAGAAGAGACGAAGUGACCAUCGCCCUUGGUCUAGUCAUCACCCAUAGCUGGGUACAGACAGAGGAUGCAAUAACCAUAGUACAUUUGACCAUCUGCAAAACAACAUGGGAGUAGAACCCUGAGUACGAGAAGGUACUCAGCUAGACUUACCCGUCAUAAACUUAAAAUAAAGACUCAUCAAGGAUCAUGAAGGCUAUUUAGUGGGGUAGCUAACAACCAUUUUGCAAAGACCGCAAAGUUUUAUUUCCCUAACCUACAUAAAUCUUUUCUUCUUUUAAUUUGCUCAAGUUGAAAGUAUCAUUACCUAUUAUCUAGGUUUGCUCCUGUGCUAUUACAAGCAAGUAUGAGACUAUGAUAGUACCUCAUCAUAGCAUUUCUUAAACCAUUCAUCAUCAUAACCCAAGUAUUCCAUAGUCCUUACUACGAGGACAGGGCUCAUGUCAAGUGCUCACUAUCCAGGAGCGAUGGCGAUUCGAAUCGAUUUCUAACCAGCUGGCGAGGUAUUCCCCACACAAACCACACUCACUGAUCAAGUGAGCUACAGAUCACCGUAUUACACUAUCCAGGACCAAUUCGCGGGUUCGGCAGGCACCGCCAGUACCCGAGGACCGUUCCGGCGACCGAGGUAUCCAAGGUAUACCAAGGUUGCACGCCGCGCCCUCAUCAUUCUCCUCAACCAUCACCAAUACAGCGCAUGGCGGCUCGAUUCCCGGCCCGGAUAGUGUUCAGGCUUCGCGGUCGGAACGAUUUAUCCUUCUAGCUAAGUGUGGGGCAUGCGUUCAACAUGACAAGAGGGCCGUCAACGAUCGGUCCUUAAUCGACACAGGCAGGGGCACUAUGGGCAACCCACCAUAAGACCCUGCCCGGUCUCCAAUUACAUUCCACACUUGGUUAUUUCUUUCCCCAAGCAACCACUGCUUAAUCAAGCAGGUAUCCACCUAUAUCUCGCAGGUGACAGGACAUCACCCGACUUCUACCGGACUAAGCAAGCUAAGCAUAGACUCCGCGCCUAUCUACAUAGGACAAGGUAGAUAAACGAGUAGGGAUAACAAGGAGUACAUAUGCAGCAACGGUAUCAGGCAACUCCUACCACUUAAAUGCAGUAGUAGAACAAGUAUAGUGCAUCACAUAAGUUAGCGAGAAUAGGGAGACUUAGAAUGCUCCGGGGCUUGCCUUUCUCAAACGUGCUGGGUCGGUGAUCCGGACACUCCUGCAAUUCCUCUCCGGGUUCCUGUGCUUCCGGAGGUUCC
rnacentral:lncRNA from 1 species